AUACGGAGGAUGCAAGCGUUAUCCGGAUUUAUUGGGCUUAAAGGGUGCGUAGGAGGGACUGUAAGUCAGGGGUGAAAUACUGCAGCUUAACCGGAGCAUUGCCUUUGAAACUGCCGUUCUUGAGUACAGUUGAGGUAGGCGGAAUGUGGUGUGUAGCGGUGAAAUGCAUAGAUAUACCACAGAACGCCGAUUGCGAAGGCAGCUUACUAAGCUGUUACUGACGCUGAGGCACGAAAGCGUGGGGAUCAAACAGGAUUAGAUACCCUGGUAGUCCACGCUGUAAACGAUGAUUACUGGUUGUUAGCGAUAUAUAGCUAGUGACUGAGCGAAAGCAUUAAGUCAUCCGCCUGGGGAGUACGUCGGCAACGAUGAAACUCAAAGGAAUUGACGGGG
rnacentral:rRNA from 1 species